rnacentral:rRNA from 1 species
GGGGCACUGUGAUAGUACUACACUGCGUGAGCGGAACGAAAACAACAACACCUAAAAUGUGGAAUAUAGCAUAUAGUCGACAAGAGAAAUCUACGAAAAACAAACAAAACUUUCAACAACGGAUCUCUUGGUUCUCGCAUCGAUGAAGAGCGCAGCGAAAUGCGAUACCUAGUGUGAAUUGCAGCCAUCGUGAAUCAUCGAGUUCUUGAACGCACAUUGCGCCCCUCGGCAUUCCGGGGGGCAUGCCUGUUUGAGCGUCGUUUCCAUCUUGCGCGUGCGCAGAGUUGGGGGAGCGGAGCGGACGACGUGUAAAGAGCGUCGGAGCUGCGACUCGCCUGAAAGGGAGCGAAGCUGGCCGAGCGAACUAGACUUUUUUUCAGGGACGCUUGGCGGCCGAGAGCGAGUGUUGCGAGACAACAAAAAGCUCGACCUCAAAUCAGGUAGGAAUACCCGCUGAACUUAAGCAUAUCAU